rnacentral:lncRNA from 1 species
GAGGAAGGAAGUGUUUCGGGAUAAACGCUUGAAUGGUUAUUAACUGAAAUGGUUUGAUCAUGAAAGAGUUAGUAUGAAUAUUAACAAUAAAAUUAUGGAUUAGAUUAAUUUAAAUUUGUAAGAAUACCUUUGAGUCUAUGAAAAGCAAUUCAAUUCCCAUGAAUAAGUUUGACUUUUGGAAGUUGCGGGUUUCCCAACAAUGAAUCCACCUUACAAAAAGUUUGUUGUUAUAAAAAAAUAUCAUUCAAGGUCAUUAAAGGUUUCUGGGACGGCAAGAGUUGGUGGUGAAACCAUUUUUUUGCUCGAGUGCUUUGAAAUUUUCCUUAAUAGUGUGAGGUUGAUGUGGAUGGAAUAAUAAAUUUUAUAGGGACUUUCUUGAUGUAACACUAUACAUUUUUUUUUGUUUAAUGUGGUAUUUCUAUUUUUUAUAUAAUUUACUACCAUUUUAAGAUAGAAGUACAUUUUAAGAUAGAUGCUUAAAUCUUAAUAUACUUUUUUCAUUUUUUAAAAUGUUUAUUUCUAUUUCUUAUAUUUUUAUUUACGUAAUAUCUAUAUUUUAUAUUUUAAAAUAGAUAUUUAAAUAUUAAUGUACUUUUUUCCAUUUUUUAAAUUGUGCAUUUACUUAUAUUAUAUAUUUUACAUUUUAAGAUAGAUGCUUAAUGCUUGAUGAACUUUUUU